rfam:Necator americanus N_americanus-1.0_Cont145594.1, whole genome shotgun sequence.
GCCUCAUUGGCUCAGGGGCAGAGCGUCUGUGUAGUAAACAGAAGGUCGCUGGUUCGAUUCCAGCAUGAGGCA